UUUCCCUCCCCUGGGAUUACCUGCCCCGCCCUGAUGUGUUUCACCUGUUCAUCUUUAUCCCUCCACCUGUGGAUUUAGCCUGCAUGUGUCUCUUGCCGGUUUGUCUUGUCUGCUGACCGGGUAUUUAUUGAAGAAAGGGAAACAACAUCCAGACUGAGUCCUCUCCAAGCCAAGCUGCACGACUCUUUUCAUCACAGGAUGUGUGCUAAUGGAGACGAGUCCCACGUGUGGAGGUUUCCACCUUGACGCGUGAGGAGGAGCAGGUUCCAGACCCAGACGGUGGAAGUCAGAGCAGCACCUGCUUGGCUCUCAAAGACAAGUGUGGAAUCGUC